rnacentral:lncRNA from 1 species
UGAAAGCAAAAAAUCUUUCAACUCUUAUUUGUUGAAUAUCGUUUAUUAUACGGGGAUAAGAAAGCUUAAUACAGUUCUCAAUCUGCAAUUCCGGUGACCUACUUUAUGUUUCCGGCUAACAAUGCUUGGUUCCGGUGAUGAGAGAUCAAAAUAAUACCAUUCUGUCAACAACGGAUUUUUUCUUUCAAAAACUAAAACAGAGAUGGAGAGAAAUAGAGAAGCUAGAAGAGUAAGUAUGGCCGCUACCAAUGGUUUAGCACCUAGAAGACGACAUAGAAGCGGCGGCAUAAGAGAUUCUCCAGGUUCAAAAUUUUUAUCAGAUCUAGCUCUUUGAUUAAGAUGAAAAGCUGUCCUCUCAAUUAACUUUUGCUGGGCUAUUGUGUCAUUGCAGAGAAUGAUGGGCCGGUGGAGUUGCAGGAAACGGCGAGGCUGCGAGAUCGAGUGGCUGGGAAAAAGGAUCGAGAUCGGGAUAGAGAGAGAGAGCGAGACCGAGACCGUGACCGUGACCGGGAACGUGACAGAGAGAGGGACAGGGACAGAGACAGGGACAGAGAUCGGAUGGGCAGUAGGGGCAAGAGAAGAAGAGGAGACAGGUUGAUGCACGGGAGCAAUAGGGAAGAAGGUGGCGAUGAGAGCUCAGAGGAGAGUGUAAAUG